GUGCUCGCUUUGGCAGCACAUAGGCCAAAAUUGGAACGACACAGAGACGAUUAGUGCGGCCCUGCGCAAGGAUGACGCGCAAAUUCCUGAAGCGUUCCAUAUUAAA